rnacentral:lncRNA from 1 species
CCUUAGUGCUGUGCUGUGAUAGCCUCUCCUCCUCCCUUCUGGAACCAACCCUAUACUGUCCAUCUGAAGCUUGAGAUGAGAACUUGGGUAUAAUGGAGUUGCACAGAUUUACAUCAGUGAAGGAGCUGGCCCCAUAUGUCUGUCUAUGGAACAUCAGAAUAAAUGAGAAUACAGCUGACCAGGCCUUGGAGUUUGGUGGAAACAGCCCUGGAGAGAACACAGAGCCAGCCAAGCCAGGGAAUGUUCUACAGUCUUCAGCAGUACUACAGAAAUCAGAAUUGAGGAUAGAAGAUACCCUAGACAACUCUAGAGAUCCUCUGUGGAAAAUCUGUAUGCGGUACUUUCACUUUCCUAUGGGGAAAGGAAACAAAGGCUGGGGAAAGAGGACAGCAAGGCAGAAAUGGUCUCAGAGAUGAUGGUGCUGAGUUUGGUAUAAAAUCUAGAUUAUAAAAAUGCAGAUGAUACAGCAAUCAGAUUAAUGGUAAGUAUUUUUUCCCUUAUUAUGCACCUCUUCUAUUUCCUGUUGACUAUCUUUAAGGAAUCAAAAGAAGAACCUAUUCAGAGUCACCAAUAGACCAAUUCCACUGAGAAAGCACAGGCUAAAUGCUGGGUCUUCAUCAGAGAAGCGUUGCAAGGAGGUGGUUGUAUAGGGACUUGCCUCCAGAUAGAUAGCCUACUGAAAAUGAGAUGCCAAUCCUAAAGGAAAGAACAGAGGUGGCCCAAAAUCAGCUUGUAAAAAGCAGUUUCUUCCAAAGAGAAUAUUUCACAGACUAGAUGAACUCGUCACUUGUCCAGCUCAGAAUGGGGAAAAGGUGUCUUGGGACAUUAGGUCUGCAGUAGCUCUG